AACGAACGCUGGCGGCAGGCUUAACACAUGCAAGUCGAACGCAUCCUUCGGGGUGAGUGGCAGACGGGUGAGUAACGCGUGGGAACGUGCCCUUCAGUUCGGGAUAACCCAGGGAAACUUGGGCUAAUACCGGAUACGUGCGAGAGCAGAAAGAUUUAUCGGCUGGAGGAUCGGCCCGCGUCUGAUUAGCUAGUUGGUGGGUUAAUGGCCCACCAAGGCGACGAUCAGUAGCUGGUAUGAGAGGAUGAUCAGCCACAUUGGGACUGAGACACGGCCCAAACUCCUACGGGAGGCAGCAGGGGGGAAUAUUGGACAAUGGGCGCAAGCCUGAUCCAGCCAUGCCGCGUGAGUGAUGAAGGCCUUAGGGUUGUAAAGCUCGUUCGUCCGGGACGAUAAUGACGGUACCGGAAGAAGAAGCCCCGGCUAACUUCGUGCCAGCCGCCGCUGUAA
rnacentral:rRNA from 1 species